GAGGGUAUAGCUCAAUAGUAGGGCACAUGCUUAGCAUGCACGCGAUCCUGGGUUCCAUCCCCAGUACUUUCA
rnacentral:tRNA from 1 species